rnacentral:ncRNA from 1 species
AACGACCGGUCGGGCACCUGUGUGUCCGACCCUCAAGUGGAGGCUCCGAUCUCCCACCUGGUCGACCGUUCAGGUCGACGGGUUCCGGUCAGACGGUACGGCUCAGCACCGCUGAUGCACCACCGUCCGAUGCGCCCCGCGGAAUAACGCGGCGGUGCUCCCGGUUGUGAGGAGCCCCGCCUGUGUCCCGUAUGGGGCGUUUUUC